CAUGAAUCUUGUCUCAAUGAAGCUGUUACCAAAGAAAGUGAACUAAAAGUUAAUGGAGAGAUUUCACAUAUAAAUUUGGAUAUUCUGUUGCCCUUAUGGGAGUUGAGGCAGCACUGGGGCUUGUGGUUACCUGUUACUCUAGUGCCCCCACCCUGACCUCUGGAAACUAUGUCUCAUGGCAUUCAAGUCUUCAGAUGGUCCCUCCAGGUCACAGUGCCACAUGGCUGUACUGUGAUCUGCUUUGACCAACAGAAUGCCACAGAAGAGUCCUAGACAGGUAGGAGCCUAAGCCUUGAGGAGGUCUGGCAGGCUCCUCUCUUGGGUCUUGUGCCCUGAGCCACUGUGCUAGAAGUCAGCUGGCUUGCUCGAGAGGUCCCACGUUGAAGGAGAUCCACAGCAACUGGGAGGAGGUCUUUGUCCCAGUAUCCCAGCUGACUGCCAGGUGUAUGCAGCCAUAUAGAUAUCUCCCCAGGAAGCCUCAACUCAGAGUGCAGAACUAUGAACAAAACGAUUGUCAUUUAACCACCACGGUCUGGGAGCUUUUGCAACAGAAGAUGGAAUGCACCUGCCUUCUCCUUUGACCACAGUCCAUUGACACCAGGUCUCAGCCACUGUGAGGAAUUAUUUUCCAUAUCUGCACAGUCCAAUGCAUUAGCCACUAGGCUCACGUGGCUACCUAAACUUAAAUUAGUUGAAAUUAAAUAAAAUGAAAAAUUAUCUUCCUC
rnacentral:lncRNA from 1 species